rnacentral:SRP_RNA from 1 species
GCCAGGUGCAGUGGCACGUGCCUGUAGUCCCAGCUACUCAGGAUGCUGAGGCGGGAGGAUCACUUGAGUCCAGGGGUUCUGGGCUGUAGUGCACUAUGCUGAUCAGGUGUCCGCACUAAGUCUGGCAUCAAUAUGGUGACCUCCUGGGAGUAGGGGACCACCAGGUUGCCUAAGGAGGAGUGAACCUGCCCAGGUCAGAAACGGAGCAGGUCAAAACUCCCGUGCUGAUCAGUAGUGGGAUCGCGCCUGUGAAUAGCCACUGCACUCCUACCUGGGCAACAGAGUGAGACCCCAUCUCU